rnacentral:rRNA from 1 species
CAGUAGCCGCGGUAAUACGGAGGAUCCGAGCGUUAUCCGGAUUUAUUGGGUUUAAAGGGUGCGUAGGCGGCCUAUUAAGUCAGGGGUGAAAGACGGUAGCUUAACUAUCGCAGUGCCUUUGAUACUGAUGGGCUUGAAUGUACUUGAAGUGGGCGGAAUGUGACAAGUAGCGGUGAAAUGCAUAGAUAUGUCACAGAACACCGAUUGCGAAGGCAGCUCACUAAAGUAUGAUUGACGCUGAGGCACGAAAGCGUGGGGAUCAAACAGGAUUAGAGACCCCAGUAGUCCCUGUCUCUUAUAC